rnacentral:rRNA from 1 species
UCGGAACUACCAGUAGUGGGGGAUAACCAGUCGAAAGACUGGCUAAUACCGCAUACGACUACGGGUGAAAGCGGGGGACCGCAAGCUCGCGCUAUUGGAUUGGCGAUGUCCGAUUAGCUAGUUGGCGGGGUAAAAGCCCACCAAGGCGACGAUCGGUAGCUGGUCUGAGGGGAUGAUCAGCCACACUGGGACUGAGACACGGCCAGACUCCUACGGGAGGCAGCAGUGGGGAAUUUUGGACAAUGGGCGCAAGCCUGAUCCAGCUAUGCCGCGUGUGUGAAGAAGGCCUUCGGGUUGUAAAGCACUUUCGGCCGGGACGAAAUCGCUCGGGUUAACACCCAGGGGUGGGUGACGGUACCGGAAGAAGAAGCACGGUAACUACGUGCCAGCAGCCGCGGUAAUACGUAGGGUGCAAGCGUUNAUCGGAAUUACUGGGCGUCAAAGCGUGCGCAGGCGGCUUAGUAAGCCAGACGUGAAAUCCCCGGGCUUAACCUGGGAACUGCGUUUGGAACUGCCAAAGGGACUAACAGAAGUGCCGGGCACGACGGCAACGGUCGGAAAUUCACCUCGGGGAUCGUCACGCCAAGGUGGAAAACCGGC